rnacentral:rRNA from 1 species
ACGGGGGGGGCAAGCGUUGUUCGGAAUUACUGGGCGUAAAGGGCGCGUAGGCGGCUUGGCAAGUCCUUCGUGAAAUCCCACAGCUCAACUGUGGAACUGCGGAGGAUACUGCUUGGCUUGAGUCCGGGAGAGGGUAGUGGAAUUCCCAGUGUAGCGGUGAAAUGCGUAGAUAUUGGGAGGAACACCGGUGGCGAAGGCGGCUACCUGGACCGGUACUGACGCUGAGGCGCGAAAGCUAGGGGAGCAAACGGG